AGUGAACGCUGGCGGCAGGCCUAACACAUGCAAGUCGAGCGGCAGCGCGGGGGCAACCCUGGCGGCGAGCGGCGGACGGGUGAGGAAUUCGUCGGAAUCUGCCUUUUUGUGGGGGAUAACGUAGGGAAACUUACGCUAAUACCGCAUACGUCCUACGGGAGAAAGUGGGGGACGGCAAGGCCUCACGCAGAAAGAGGGGCCGACGACCGAUUAGCUAGUUGGUGGGGUAAAGGCCCACCAAGGCGACGAUCGGUAGCUGGUCUGAGAGGAUGAUCAGCCACACUGGGACUGAGACACGGCCCAGACUCCUACGGGAGGCAGCAGUGGGGAAUAUUGGACAAUGGGCGCAAGCCUGAUCCAGCCAUGCCGCGUGUGUGAAGAAGGCCUUCGGGUUGUAAAGCACUUUUGUCCGGAAAGAAAUCCCUGGAGCUAAUACCUUCGGGGGAUGACGGUACCGGAAGAAUAAGCACCGGCUAACUUCGUG
rnacentral:rRNA from 1 species